CAAUCACUUGUCUUUUAAAUAAAGACCUGUAUGAAUGGCACAACGAGGGAUUAACUGUCUCCUUCCCCCAGUCAAUGAAAUUGAUCUGCCCGUGCAGAAGCGAGCAUAAACACAUAAGACGAAAAGACCCUAUGGAGCUUUAGACAAAGUCAACAUGCCUAAAAAACCCCAAAUAACCCAACAGAACAAAAUGUUUAUUAAACCCAACAUGUAAUUGACUAAUGUCUUCGGUUGGGGCGACCAUGGGGGAAAAGAAAGCCCCCACACAGACAAGGAUAAACUCCUAAACCAAGAAAAACACUUCUAAGCAACAGAAAAUCUGACACAAGAUCCGGGUGCAAUGAACCCGAUCAAUGAACCAAGUUACCCUAGGGAUAACAGCGCUAUCCUUUCCCAGAGCCCA
rnacentral:rRNA from 1 species